rnacentral:rRNA from 1 species
UCAAAUUGGUUGUAUUUUGGAAUCUGCUUAGCCGCAGGUCCUCGCCUUCGGGUGGGGAUGCGCGAGGCACUCACCAAGUGUUGCGCGUUCCGUAUAUGUCGGGCCAGCUCGCCAGUGCACUUUCGCAGAGUGUUCACCACGACCGGCAUUGCGGUCUGGCUGUUGUGGUUAAACCGGCCUUUCUUUGCCCUCGUGGCUUAGGAUUGUCGGGAUGGCAGGUAGCUCGCCAGCUGGGCCUGUAGCUUGCUGCAGGUUUUCGGCUCUCGGGUGUUAUCAGCUGACCGCAUCGGUACUGUGCUGUAUGUCGGAGACGGCGGCUUGUGGUACAUGCGUGCGUACUAGUUGGUUGGCGUGUCCGGGUUUGGUUGUUACGUUGCCUGUGUUUACAGGCCUGAUGAUAGCCCGGGUUCGUUCGGCCGGCGGUUGCGUGUGUAGUGCUUUCCAGGGCCAAUAGUCUGUGGUGUUGCGGUAGACUUUCCACCCGACCCGUCUUGAAACACGGACCAAGGAGAGUAACAUGUGCGCGAGUCAUUGGGCGUAACGAAACCCAAAGGCGAAGUGAAAGUAAAGGUCUGGCUUGUCUGGACUGAGGUGAGAUCCUGUCGUUUCCCACGCGCGGUAUUACCAAGCUCCGAGCGGCAGGCGCAUCACCGGCCCGUCCCAUGGUGUGGUGACUUCCUUGGGGGGUUCGUCACCGGGGCGGAGCAUGAGCGUACAUGUUGAGACCCGAAAGAUGGUGAACUAUGCUUGCGCAGGUUGAAGCCAGAGGAAACUCUGGUGGAGGACCGCAGCGAUUCU